UGGGAUCUAGCCAAGUGGCAAGGCAACGGACUUUGACUCCGUGAUGCGCAGGUUCGAAUCCUGCCAUCCCAG
rnacentral:tRNA from 1 species